ACUUUUGCCCCGAUGGUCUGGAAGAGUACGAUGCCCGGUCCCAGAGUUGGCCAGACGGCUACCUGAGCUCAUACUCUUCACCCAGGAGCCUGGCCGGGCACGGCCUUUCAGAUCCACUCCAAAUCUGUCUCCUGUUGGUUCUUGUGAAGGGGUCAGUAGCAAAGACACUUGGAAAUACAUUUUUUAAAGAAGUAGAGUAGGGGGAACGCUUGAGCUCUGACAAGACGUACAACCACCCUCACGUUGCCUGCAGCUUCCCGGAGGCCCUCCUGGAACAGACGACUACACCUGGCGGAGGAGAGGAGGGGACCAAUGGUCACUCUCUCGGCCUGUUUCGUGUUUGGUAACGAUCCAGGAACCCAAACAGUCACAGAUAAAGGAAUAUCCUCUUACUCCUCUAUUUAGCUAAGUACUGCUAAUUCAAUGAAAUUCAGUAAUAAUUUCUUUCAAAUCCACUGCUAUAAGCCUGCCUGCACCCUUGCCAACUCCGAUUCCAGGCAAAGAAGUUAACACACAGAAAAUACUCAUUUGCUUCCAUGUGUUCAGCCUCUGACUACUAGAGGUAUUUCCCUUCAGUGUUUUGUUUUGUAAGGAUUUUUUUU